rnacentral:ncRNA from 2 species
UUCAUCAAGAGCAGCCGAGGGAAUGGCCCGAUGACGCUGCGGCAACCCCCAAUCGGGAUAGGUGCCAAGUCCAGCGGUAUAUUACCGGCAGAUGA